rnacentral:misc_RNA from 1 species
GUAGGUGAACCUGCGGAAGGAUCAUUACCGAGUUCAUGCCCUCACGGGUAGACCUCCCACCCUUUGUAUACUACACUUUCGUUGCUUUGGCGGGACGCCUCACGGCCACCGGCUUCGGCUGGUGCGCGCCCGCCAGAGGACCCCAAACCCUUUAUUAUUAGUGUCGUCUGAGUAAAUAUUUAAUAUUUAAAACUUUCAACAACGGAUCUCUUGGCUCUG